rnacentral:tRNA from 1 species
GCUCCCGUAGCUCAGCAGAUCCAGAGCGGCCGGCUUCGAACCGGAGGGUCGUGGGUGCAAUUCCUACCGGGAGCACCA